rnacentral:rRNA from 1 species
UACGAAGGGGGCUAGCGUUGUUCGGAUUUACUGGGCGUAAAGCGCACGUAGGCGGAUUGUUAAGUUAGAGGUGAAAUCCCGGAGCUCAACUCCGGAACUGCCUUUAAUACUGGCGAUCUAGAGUCCGGAAGAGGUAAGUGGAACUCCUAGUGUAGAGGGGGAUGUCGUAGAUAUUAGGAAGAACACCAGUGGCGAAGGCGGCUUACUUGUCCGGCACUGACGCUGAGGUGCGAAAGCGUGGGGAGCAAACAGG